GGCGGGAUAGCUCAGCGGUAGAGCAGUCGGCUCAUACCCGGCGCGUCUGGGGUUCAAAUCCCCAUCCCGCCA
rnacentral:tRNA from 1 species